rnacentral:rRNA from 1 species
AUGGCUGUCGUCAGCUCGUGUCGUGAGAUGUUCGGUUAAGUCCGGCAACGAGCGCAACCCACAUCCUUAGUUACCAGCGGUUCGGCCGGGAACUCUAAGGAAACUGCCCGUGAUAAGCGGGAGGAAGGUGUGGAUGACGUCAAGUCCUCAUGGCCCUUACGGGUUGGGCUACACACGUGCUACAAUGGUAGUGACAAUGGGUUAAUCCCAAAAAGCUGUCUCAGUUCGGAUUGGGGUCUGCAACUCGACCCCAUGAAGUCGGAAUCGCUAGUAAUCGCGUAACAGCAUGACGCGGUGAAUACGUUCCCGGGCCUUGUACACACCGCCCGUGGGGCGGGGGCGGCGGGCCGGGCGCGGGGCGCGGCG